rnacentral:rRNA from 1 species
CCUUCGGGUGAUGAGAGUGGCACACGGGUGCGUAACGCGUAGGCAAUCUGCCCCUGACAGGGGGAUAGCCCUUCGAAAGGAGGAUUAACCCCGCAUAGUCUCAUGAGAUCGCAUGGUUUUAUGAGUAAAACUUCGGUGGUCAGGGAGGAGCCUGCGUCCGAUUAGCUAGUUGGCGGGGUAGAAGCCCACCAAGGCGACGAUCGGUAGGGGGUCUGAGAGGAUGAUCCCCCACACUGGCACUGAGAUACGGGCCAGACUCCUACGGGAGGC